GGGUCACUGGAUAAAAAGCCUCACUCUUAACCACUGCAGUCAUUUCUGAACCAUUUCCCCUGUGAACAUAGUGUACUUCUCCGAGCGAUUGUUCUGCGUGUUGAAGUGAGAACUGUGGAAAAAAUAUGUAUUGAACAUAUGAAAAGUCUGAGAGCAGUGCGAAGAUGUCCUUCUAGAUCCGUGGACUUCUUAAAAGUAGUACAGGCAUAGCUGUGGAGGGAUUCCACACAUGGUUGCUAGAACAUUGUGUAAAUCACUGAGCAAACUCCUGUUAGGUGCCUGUAUUUGUUUGGAGGUCACAAACAAAAUCACAUCCUCGCUCUCCUUGGUCCUGCUGCACAAGUUUAGUACAUCUCCUGGAACUGAUUCCUAGGAUGGACGUUAUGGGGCCAGAGGGUCCAUGGGCAAUCUUUGUUGGCAAAAUGACCUUGGAAAACCAAAGGACAAUGAAGAUGGUGUCAAAGAGAGCUUUUUUCUGUUGGAGUAUGCUGAGUGUUAAGUUAAAAAAUAAAGGAGACUAUACAUAGGAAAAAACACACAGGAGGAAAAAUAUAUUUUCAUAUAUAUUAUAUAUAUCUUUAAAAAAUUUUCAGUGCUGGGGAUCAAAUCCAGGGCCUUGCACAUGUUAGGCAAGCACCC
rnacentral:lncRNA from 1 species